UUUAAAUAUCAGAAGCAAUAACCGAGUCGGCAUAGCCAUGUCUUUCUGACUAUAAGAGCUGGAGCUGCCAAAUGUUGUUUCAAGACUCCUGUAAUAUUACACUGAAAUAAUUUUUUUUUUAAAUUAUCCCACGCCUCACUCAUGGGAUCAUUAUUAUUGCUAGUAGAAACAUAUAAUAUUGCAGUAGUGUGCGCCCCAUGGCGGAGAGAAGCGAUAAUAAACGGCUGAUGUUGGCUUGAGAAUCGAAAAAAAGAGACAGCUAUAAAAAAAAGUAAAGAAAAAUGGAAACAAAUAAAAUCGAAUAUAUAAAAAUCUCCCAAAAGGUUAAAAAAUUCAUUUUGUUGGCAAAAAAUCAAUUUGAUACCAAACGACAUAUGAAAUAUAUUCUAGAAAUGACAUAAGCAAUAAGCUCACAUAUGUACAUAUAUCCUCCCCAUUCAUGUUUUUAACGGUAAAAAGCAAAGUUAUGAAAGCGAAACAAAUAAGAAGAUUCUUCAUCGAAGCGAGCUCUUAAGAAUAAGAAAGCAUAGGAUCUUCCGAUCCUGCAGCCAGCGCGUACGCAUUACUUAUCGUUUACCCCACAGACCAGCUCCAGUGGCAUAGCCACAGCAACUAUCGUUGUAAGUGCCGUGCUACAAAAUUAAGGGAACAUACAUAUUUUUUUUAUUGAAGU